rnacentral:rRNA from 1 species
AUUAUGGAGAGUUUGAUCCUGGCUCAGGACGAACGCUGGCGGCGUGCCUAAUACAUGCAAGUCGAGC